CCCUUAGAUGUUCUGGGCUGCACGCGCGCUACACUGAUGCACUCAACGAGUUUACGACCUUGCCCGAUAGGGUUGGGUAAUCUUUUUAAAAUGCGUCGUGAUGGGGAUAGAUUAUUGCAAUUAUUAAUCUUCAACGAGGAAUUCCUAGUAAGCGCGAGUCAUCAGCUCGUGCUGAUUACGUCCCUGCCCUUUGUACACACCGCCCGUCGCUCCUACCGAUUGAGUGCUCAGGUGAAUAAUUCGGACUGCGGCAAUGUUUGGAUCCCGAACGUUGCAGCGGAAAGUUUAGUGAACCUUAUCACUUAGAGGAAGGAGAAGUCGUAACA
rnacentral:rRNA from 1 species